GGGGUAUUAUCUUAAUGGUAAAGAAGAGCGUUACGGCCGCUAAGAUAUGAGUUCGAAUCCCAUAUACCUUU
rfam:Colletotrichum gloeosporioides Cg-14 contig00012, whole genome shotgun sequence.